rnacentral:snRNA from 1 species
GGACGUGAGGACAGCAUCUGUCAUCCCAUUGAUUGCCAGGGCGGAUUUGGCUGAUCUGGCCGGGUGGGUGGCUGUCCCCUCCUCCCUCACAGCUGUCUGUGAAUCCUUCCCAAAGUUGCACACUUGGUCCAAGAGGACAAGCUUCCCUGAUAGAGAAGUUCUUUACAGGAGUAGCUGAGCUCCCCAGAGAACCUCUAGACAAGCUCUCAAGAAACAAGGGGCUGGAUUGAGCUACGCUGUUACC